UGGGGAAUUUUCCGCAAUGGGCGAAAGCCUGACGGAGCAAUACCGCGUGCGGGAGGAAGGCCUUUGGGUCGUAAACCGCUUUUAACAGGGAAGAAGAUCUGACGGUACCUGUUGAAUAAGCCUCGGCUAACUCCGUGCCAGCAGCCGCGGUAAGACGGAGGAGGCAAGCGUUAUCCGGAAUUAUUGGGCGUAAAGCGUCCGCAGGUGGCCUUUCAAGUCUGCUGUUAAAGCCCAGGGCUCAACUCUGGAUCAGCAGUGGAAACUGAAAGGCUAGAGUACGGUAGGGGUAGAGGGAAUUCCCAGUGUAGCGGUGAAAUGCGUAGAUAUUGGGAAGAACACCAGUGGCGAAGGCGCUCUGCUGGACCGUAACUGACACUCAUGGACGAAAGCUA
rnacentral:rRNA from 1 species